CAGUGUGUUCGGUGCACCGACGAUGGAGAAACCUACGCGAAAAGUAUUGAAUCGAUGACGUCACAAAAGACGUGUCAGUGGAAGGAGUAGACGGGGAUUGUGGAGGAGCAUGUUGAAAAAUGUCCGAUUACUUUAAUUUAUCGUGGGACGUGGAUAGUGGUAAACAGACGCGUUUAUGUUGACCGCGAGAGUCGAACAAUAAUACCGGUGUCGGUACAUGAUUAUCGUCGGGUCUCGGGCUAUCACGUGGACGAAAAGGACAUUUAGUUUUCGGACGAGCGGACACGCCGACCGAAAUAUAUCUUCGAAAAAUAAAACCAGUGGGACGGUGUUGUUUUGUUUCUGUUGGAUUUAUCAGGGAGCUGACCUCGCGUUACGCUGAAUUUUGCGAAUAACGCUGAAAGCGUAGGCUACAAGUCAUUACAUCCAUUACAUCAGAGGCCCCGGAGGACCUGGGCAACGAUGGAUGCUGCCAGACAGGAAUGAUAGAAUGCAAGAGGGUAGCACCGCCGUGGCGCUAGCGAUGGUGACUCCUGGCUACGAUCAGGACCCUGCAAGUGGGGUUGCCGAUUACACAACUCAUCAGGAUCAGGCACAAUUCGAAGCAGACAAGAGGGCAGUGUACAAACAUCCCCUCUUCCCGCUGCUAGCGUUACUAUUUGAAAGAUGCGAACAAGCAACGCAGGGCUCGGACAAUUCCACGUCCGAAAGCUUCAACAUGGACAUAGAGGCCUUCGUCCAACACCAAGAAAGAGACCGAAAGCCAUUUUUGAUCAAUGACCCCGAAAUUGACGGUUUGAUGAUCAAGGCGAUUCAGGUGCUGCGAAUUCACCUACUCGAAUUGGAAAAGGUUCAGGAGUUGUGCAAGGACUUUUGCAACAGGUACAUCACGUGCCUGAAGGGCAAGAUGCAGAGCGAAAAUCUGCUACGCAGCGAUUACAGUCACCAUGGGCACGAUAUGGGUCCAUCGAGUGGCAGCAAUGGCAGCAGUCCUUUGCAGGUGCUGUCUUCUACAGGCAAUGAUGUUGAGCCGGGAGCUAACGGAUUCCGAGUGAGCAGAGGCGACACCCUGUCGGAGAACGGUGGUGCGAGUCAAGUGGCUGCGCAAGAGGAAACCGGUAACGACAGGCCGCCUUCGGUGCGUUCAUCAUCCACCGCUCAACGCUCCAACAGAUCCUCUAGCCAGGACCAUGACGAUCCUCUAUCACCACCCACGGUACAUGGCAGCACGCCUCUUUCACAGAUCGGGGUACAUCCUUGUGCACCAGUCAACGAUAUGUAUCUUGGUCAAGAUGAUAUGGACUAUGUGAAUAUUGGCGACAGAAUAUAUUUAGAAGAAGCUGGCUAUUGGGGCCUUCUUGCAUUACAAGAGCGCGAGAAUGAAUACGUCGAUGUCGGGGAUGCUAACGACGAAAAGUAUUUUGAUAUCACUGUGGCAGGCUCUCCCUCCCCUGCACCCAGUGAAGAUGAAGACGAGGGGUGUGGCACUGGCACUGCUACUUCAAAUCAUAGUAGUAACCAUGGAGGUAGUCAUAGUAGCAUUAAGAAGGGAAGGCAGAAGCGGGGCGUCUUACCUAAGCAAGCUACGAGCAUUAUGCGAACUUGGCUCUUUGAACAUUUAGUUCAUCCAUAUCCUACGGAGGAUGAGAAGCGUCAGAUCGCGAGUCAAACAAACUUAACGUUGCUGCAAGUCAAUAAUUGGUUCAUCAAUGCUCGUCGACGAAUCCUUCAGCCGAUGCUCGACGGCGCCGGGGCUGACCCGGUGCAACGCGCCGGUAAACGUCAUAAAGUGUCGAAGCACGUCGUCCAACCUCAGCACGUGCAACAGCAACAAGCUGGCGGCUGGCAAUCCGAAGACUCCGGGAGCGAUUCAGGCUCCAGCGACGGUGAGGGGGGUGCCGAUAGAUCGAAAGAUGGUAACGAUAGCGACGAAGAUGAUCUUCACUGACCUCUGUCGAUCACCGAAACGUCAACCUCUUUACGGUACCUUCAAAUCCAGUUGCUCAUUACAGUAUUAAGGUGCAUUCGAGUACAUGUACGAGAACGGAUCUUCAGAUAAAAUCACUAAUGUCGUCACACAUUAGUGAUUGAUGUGCAAGCUCUAUCUAAAGUAUUUAAGGAGAUAGGAAUGGACCAAAAAAAAAAAAAUAAGACAGUAACGAGGAUUAAUUUUGGUACAAGAUCGAGUCCCACGCUGUUCUGUUCAAUCUUCCAUAUACUUCUAUGGGUAGCGGUACUAAAAAGUAAUGGUAAUAUUAUGUUUGAUUGUUCACCGUGUUGUAUAGUUGACUCUUUCUAAUGCAACAGUGUAAUUCGAGAGAGUAUUCUGUGACAAACUUUUGUAACAAUUCACGUUACGUUCGUAUAAACUUCCCAUACCUAUUGUGUUCUUGAGAAACAAUUUAUGAGAAGUCAAAGAAUUGCUUGUUUCUCUUGUUCAUUUAUAUUUACUCCAGUUUUAAGUUCAACUUUUCUUCAACUUUAUAUAUAAAUAAUUCCGUGUUACUUUUAUGUUCUAUUUGCUUCCAUGCUUUUUAUAUUUCUAAUGUUCGUGAAUUAUACAGAAGUUUACAAGCAGCACAAUUUGUUUCAUGUGUCGUAACGAGUAUUCCAUCUUGCCAAGAGUUCAUUCUAUAGUUUACGAAAGUGUCCACACAUAUACUGACAGAUAUUUGUACAAUUUGAUAUUCCAAAACACGGAUGUGUGUAUGUAUAUGCGCUAAUAUAAAACUAAAGGACUUUCAGAGGUCCAUUCCUAACUUAAGUGAAAUUUUAAGUCAUAAACUAAGCGUAUUACAUACUUACGUGCAUACUAAAAAGGAAGCAUAACUAAACAACUUGAAUAUUCUCUCUCGUGUACAUCAAGGUCCUGUUAAAUAAGUUGUUUAUUGAUAAUAAAUGCCAUCACGCUUGCAACAUGUGUUUCAGAUUUUUAUUCUAACUUUAAGGUACAUUGCCUCAUCCAUUUUCUAAUUGAAACUUUCUUGUUGUAAGAAAUGAAUUAAUUUUAGUUACUUAGUUAGUUGUAGUAAAUUUUAGUUAUUUAAAUGUAUCAUAUAAAAUACUUUAUUAUCAAUAAUAUGACCACGUAACUCGUAUAUGUAUGUGACAAAAACAGAUCGAUUGAGUUACUCUCGCAUACUUACAUGUUUAAAAAAAAUAUGAAAUUGCAAGUAAUUACAGGUACGUGUUUAUGAAAUAUCCUAGAUUUGAAUUAUGAAUCAAAGAAUUCAGGAAUAGUAUCUUUAUUGCACAUAUAAAUUUUUUUUAAUACAUUUGUAUAAAGAUAUCUUCAAUUGUUUAGAAAAUAACUUUUAGUUUCUGUAUUUUCAUUUGUAAUAUUGUUUACAUCAACUUUUAUGUCUAGUACCUUAUAGCUCCUAUAUAACGACCAAAAGAACAGUUAUUAAUUUAAAAAAUUAGUAUUAAAAAUGCAUGAAAGUAAAAAAACAUACUAUAAAUAUACAAACGUGCAAUGUACAUUUCAGAUAAAUUCCUUAAUAAUGGACUUACUCCUACUCUUUGUUUACAGAAUUUUAUUAUGGUUAAAAAUGCGUUUUAUGAAAUAAAUUGGUUAAGUUCUCUUAACGAAUGACAAAA